UAGGGAAUAUUGCACAAUGGGGGAAACCCUGAUGCAGCAAUGCCGCGUGAAGGAUGAAGGUUUUCGGAUUGUAAACUUCUAUCGAUGGGGAAGAAAAAAAUGACGGUACCCAAGUAAGAAGCCCCGGCUAACUAUGUGCCAGCAGCCGCGGUAAUACAUAGGGGGCAAGCGUUAUCCGGAUUUACUGGGUGUAAAGGGUGCGUAGGCGGUUAGAUAAGUCAGAUGUGAAAACCCGGGGCUCAACCUCGGGAAUGCAUUUGAAACUGUUUGACUAGAGUAUGGGAGAGGUAAGUGGAAUUCCUAGUGUAGCGGUAAAAUGCGUAGAUAUUAGGAAGAACACCAGUGGCGAAGGCGACUUACUGGACCAAAACUGACGCUGAGGCACGAAAGCGUGGGGAGCAAACAGG
rnacentral:rRNA from 1 species